CCGUACUAGUCGGGGCGUUAGCGGUGCCUUGUAGCCCAUAAUCCGCUAUAAUGGGGACAAAUGCCUAUUUGAGGGUCAGUUCGGAAUAUGGCAGGUGCGUCUUUAUGAUGUUGAGAGUCCGGUCCUGUGCAGCAGAACACUGUGAACCUGGUCAGGACGGUGACGUAGCAGCCAUAAGCAGACCGUUUCUCGCGUGCCGCAGGGGUGCCGGAUUUGAGUUGUAACGG
rnacentral:SRP_RNA from 1 species